UCGUAAAUUUAUAUAUCAAUCUCCAUAUAUAUUCACGUUAUAUUAUCGUAACUCAGACUUUUUCUCCACAUCGUAUUUACGUCAGAGCGAUUCGAAUUAUCACGAACGCCCGAGCUAGCCUACGGAGAUUAUUUUGUCGGGCUGUCAUAAAAACGCUGUCGAGAAAAGGAGACAAAAACACACAAGUAUGGCAGACACGGUGCGAGUUAACAAGACGUUGAGAAAACUCGACGAUGAACAUCGAGCAUCGAGAAGAGUUCGAUAACCUCUUCGUCAAACUCUCUUUUAUUUCUCUCCCCUCUCGCUCUCGCGCAUACACUCACUCCCGCUUAGUCCUCACGGGUUCAAUCGACCACGCGAUGCUGUACCAUUACAAACAGAGAAGUCUCUCGAGUCGAUGACGGCCGCUAUUACUUAGUUUACUGCUGCCUGACGCCCUCCCUCGGUCCACCUAUUCCACGAUGCUCUUCCUCGCUGUUUCCGCGUCUCCGAAAUGUCUGAAUUCGCCAUAUCUACGACAUAACCUAUAUCGAUGCGCAUCGCGCGUUACUACCCCAUUUUGCUUUUUCACGUCCCCCUCUAUCACUUUUCCUCGACAAUCUCCCACUCUCGCGCUAUCUUAUCUUAUUUUUCGUAGAUUUUCUCCAAUUCUCGCUCCUCCGUUCUUUUCCUUCUCGUAAUUAAUCACGGGAAUCGUAACCUCUUAUCGCCGAUGCUAGGCCUGGCUCGAGCGCCGGCGAGACAGAGAUGGCUUCACGCCCCAUUUUCCCGUUCCCGCUCCGCAGCCAAUUAAGAUUUUCUUUCCCGAAGAUUCGCAAUAAUGAGAAUCACCGUACCGACGCCCAUGCGGAGAAACAAACCAGCAUCCUGGGAUGACUCACUGCGAUAUCACAGACCUCUUAGUGUUCCCAUUCUACUCGAGAGCCGCGCGCUUACUCUGCACGCGUGUGUUCGCACACGGACAAUGGACGAACGACGGAGCGAGCGAGAGGGAGAGCCAGUAAACGCCACAAAGGUGUUUCUGGAAAGGAGGCGAGGAGAAACGUUCUUGGCGUUUUUCAAGCUCUUUUAAAGGCAGGACUUUGGAUGGAAGACACGGAGAGUAAAGUAAAACGACGCUGAACUCUGCAACGUUGGAGUCCAACGAAAUUAAAGAAAAUAACAUUUAUAUUCGCUAAGGUUUUAUUAUUUCACGGUUCAUUGGUGUAGACUGAAAAACUACGAAUUGCAAAUUAGCAGAUUACUUUUCGAGUGAUCGGUUUUCAAAUGCAUCGUCAUACGCACAAUUCGAGAAUCGUGGUUCAACGACGUCGGCAGUUCAGCAAUUUAACAGUUAAUAAUUAAGAAAUUAGAAG